GGAGUUCUGAUUUUUUAUUUAUUCCAUCAGACUAAUAAAGACUUCAGCACAAUAACAUACCCAAAAGGAAACUGGGAUCAUUGUGAUGAGAGGCACAGAAUUUGUGGCCUCUCUAUGAACAAAUUCCCUACAUGU